rnacentral:rRNA from 1 species
GACGAACGCUGGCGGCGUGCUUAACACAUGCAAGUCGAGCGGUAAGGCCCUUUCGGGGGUACGACGAGCGGCGAACGGGUGAGUAACACGUGGGUGACCUGCCCUUAGCUCUGGGAUAAGCCUGGGAAACUGGGUCUAAUACCGGAUAUGACUCCAUGACGCAUGUUGUGGGGUGGAAAGCCUUGUGCGGCUAGGGAUGGGCCCGCGGCCUAUCAGCUUGUUGGUGGGGUGAUGGCCUACCAAGGCGACGACGGGUAGCCGGCCUGAGAGGGCGACCGGCCACACUGGGACUGAGACACGGCCCAGACUCCUACGGGAGGCAGCAGUGGGGAAUCUUGCGCAAUGGGCGAAAGCCUGACGCAGCGACGCCGCGUGGGGAUGACGGCCUGG